GACAGAGGCCCCAAGCGUUAGGCGGAAUCACUGGGCUUAAAGCGUGUGUAGGCGGAUCGUUAAGUGUCUUGUGAAAUCCCACGGCUCACCCGUGGAACUGCUGGGCAUACUGGCGAUCGUUGGCCACUAGGGGCAGCCGGAACAAGCGGUGGAGCGGUGAAAUGCGUAGAUAUCGCUUGGAACGCCGAAGGUGAAAACAGGCUGCUGGGGGUUGUGCCGACGCUGAGACACGAAAGCCAGGGGGAGCAAACGGGG
rnacentral:rRNA from 1 species